UGUCCUGGGAGGUGGCUGUGCUAGUCCACGGGGUCAGCCUUGCUCUGUUAUCUCUCCAG
ensembl:miRNA Mir7030 microRNA 7030